AGAACAAGCAGAGCUUAAUAAAUACUUCCCCCACUAACUUGCACAAAAAUUCCUUUUAAACUCCUUUUCUUUAUGGACAACUUAUCAAACACUUUAAUUUGUAAGAUCCGUGUCUAAAACCUCCUUGAACAGCCUAUGGGUGAUGUUCUGGGGAAGGACUCAAACGUAAAAGAAGCCAUGAUGAUGAAAAGAUGGGAGUUUUUGUGAGUUUGGUUAAGCAGAGAGAAGAUGGAUUGGCAUGAUUGUCAAGGACUAAUAGUGGGGACUUGUAAUUCCGGUUACGGGGGAAGAGGAGGGAAUUGUGAGUUAUGGUAGUGAGCUCUCUUUUGGGAAAAA